AGGGAAUCUUCCACAAUGGACGCAAGUCUGAUGGAGCAACGCCGCGUGAGUGAAGAAGGUUUUCGGACCGUAAAGCUCUGUUGUUGGUGAAGAAGGAUAGAGGUAUACUAGUGCCUUUAUUUGACGGUAAUCGACCAGAAAGUCACGGCUAACUACGUGCCAGCAGCCGCGGUAAUACGUAGGUGGCAAGCGUUGUCCGGAUUUAUUGGGGC
rnacentral:rRNA from 1 species